CCUACGGGUGGCAGCAGUGAGGAAUAUUGGUCAAUGGGCGCGAGCCUGAACCAGCCAAGUAGCGUGAGGGAUGACUGCCCUGCGGGUUGUAAACUUCUUUUAUAAGGGAAUAAAGUGAGGCACGUGUGCCUUUUUGUGUGUACUUUAUGAAUAAGGAUCGGCUAACUCCGUGCCAGCAGCCGCGGUAAUACGGAGGAUCCGAGCGUUAUCCGGAUUUAUUGGGUUUAAAGGGAGCGUAGAUGGGUUGUUAAGUCAGUUGUGAAAGUUUGCGGCUCAACCGUAAAAUUGCAAUUGAUACUGGCAGUCUUGAGUACAGGUGAGGUAGGCGGAAUUCGUGGUGUAGCGGUGAAAUGCUUAGAUAUCACGAAGAACUCCGAUUGCGAAGGCAGCCUACUAAACUGCCACUGACAUUGAUGCUCGAAAGUGUGGGUAUCAAACAGGAUUAGAUACCCCGGUAGUC
rnacentral:rRNA from 1 species